AACGAACGCUGGCGGCAUGCCUAACACAUGCAAGUCGAACGAGACCUUCGGGUCUAGUGGCGCACGGGUGCGUAACGCGUGGGAACCUGCCCUUAGGUUCGGAAUAACUCCCCGAAAGGGGUGCUAAUACCGGAUAAUGUCUUCGGACCAAAGAUUUAUCGCCUUUGGAUGGACCCGCGUUGGAUUAGCUAGUUGGUAGGGUAAAAGCCUACCAAGGCGACGAUCCAUAGCUGGUCUGAGAGGAUGAUCAGCCACACUGGGACUGAGACACGGCCCAGACUCCUACGGGAGGCAGCAGUGGGGAAUAUUGGACCAUGGGCGAAAGCCUGAUCCAGCAAGGCCGCGUGAGUGAUGAAGGCCUUAGGGUUGUAAAGCUCUUUUACCCGGGAUGAUAAUGACAGUACCGGGAGAAUAAGCUCCGGCUAACUCCGUG
rnacentral:rRNA from 1 species